CGAGAGGGGGCCUCUCGAAGGACCCGGCGGCUGGAAGGAGGUGGCGCCAGGCAGGCCAGACCUGCACAGCCUGCAGACAAGGAGGAAGCGGUUUGUGGCUGGAGAGUUGGACACCCCCACCCCCACUCGGCGGUGCUCUCAGUGAGGCAGCCCCGGGUGAGAGCUGCCCACAACCCUUGUUCCCCGCAGGAUCCUGUUCUAGCUAUCCUUUCUCCCAACCUCGCCUCCAGGGCCCUUCCUCACUGCCCAAGGGGGCCGAGGUGCUGAGAGCUGAAGGUGACAACAAUACACAUGCAGGUCAGCAGGAAGGGGCAGCUUGGCCAGAAUGUAACCAGAGCAGACCAACCUGGCCGGGCAGCCCUGAGUCCUCAGGAGAAGGAACGGGGCUGCCUCUGGGGCCAAAGCAAACCCGACACCCGAUGCCCGGUGGGUUUCCACAACUCCCUGACCGUUUCCAGAGGCUUGUCCCGGUUCCGACAGACCUCAGGAAGCCCGGCCCCAGCUCACCCGGAAAGAUGUGGACACCAGGCCUGGAUCUUACCCCACAUGCAUCUUUGCUUGCUCCUGGCUUAAACACCAUGUAUUUCCACUUUGAGGCCAAAAACACCCAAAAAGGUGAUAGUGUAAUUUCAAAAAGCAAACAGAUUAGCAAAUCCAGGGAGACAUCCACCCUGCCUGGGCAGCUUCUAUAAAACGAAACCCAGCGCCUUGAGAAACAAAGUGAGCUGAGUCAAUCAUUCCUGCUUUAUAUUUAAACUGCAAAGACAGAACACAGAGCAUUCGAUUUGAAAAUUC
rnacentral:lncRNA from 1 species